CUGUGAGGAGAGAGAGUUAGCAGGGCCGGUUCGGGGCGGGGUGAGAGGCGUCGGCGACGAACGCUGUUUUCUUAACGUUUUUUAUUUGCUGCAGGAAAUUCCAAAACAUCGUAGCAGGUUCAAACCCAGCAACAAACGUAACCUCAAUAACUAGAGGAGUUGCUUUCUUUCUUCCUCAGCAGGCCACUGACUCACUAUUGGCUCACCAACAAGUAACUGUUCUCUCCGGAGACUGCGAGCCGGGACUUCUGCGUUCGGCGCCACAGAGUCUGUGCACUGACAUUUUGCUUGAAAAUUUAAUUUUGGCACUCCCCUGACCAUUCUGGAACCUCCUUUGGAAAGCUCGAUUCUACAGAACCAAAUUUUGAAAAUGGCUCCAACUCUACUCUCUUCGAAUCGAUUGAAACUUUGACGGAACGCCGUCGGACGUCUUUAUAUCUGGGCGGUGUAUCAGGGUGUCUCAUUCAUUUGGAAUUAUCUUCGGGCAACACAGAAGAGAUUCACGUAAAUUGUUUCCAGCUCGGUGUCCACACUAGGCUGCCCGCUGAGCUGCGUCACUGUUGGAGCGAGGUCACCGCCGCCUGCACCUGAUGACCCCGUGACCCCGGAGACCCCGGCCACUAGCCCUGCCGCACGCAGCUGCGCCACCAGGCGUCCAGGGGACCUGUGAUUCUGAGGAUUCCUCUCAACGUGUCGACGCUUCAUGAGUGGGUCGGAGGGCGCGGGAGUGGACCAGCAGUGGGGACUGUGCUCGGACUGCUGGUCCACACACACCGACCAGGCUCGCGAGAGAGAGAGGGAACUGGCGUGUUGCGUCACCAUCUCGGUUGGCACGCCUGGCGCCUGGCGGCCCGUGAGAACUGAACCUCUCUCCGCGGCCACGGGCGAGUGGACCACGGGCGAGUGGACCACGGGCGAGUGGACCACGGGCUAGUCCACCCGGCCCGAGGCACGGCGCCAUCUCCCGGCCGUGCUGAUAGCAGCGCCGCGCCAAUAAGCCAGCACUGAUACCAGAGACCAGCCUGCACGGUGAUGUAGCUCCUCGGACGUGGGGGGGGGGGGGGGGGGGGUGAUAAACAACCCAAUUACUUCAUGAACUGUCUGUAGAACCGUCGUGUCCGUGCACUGAAAAUGUUUGGCGAAAAUUCAUUGCGAGGAAAGCAGAAUAUAGUAAGACUAUUAUAAAAAACUUUUAUUUUUGAACACGCUGAUCUCAAAAACUACUAUUUGAAUUUUCAUGGAGUUUUCACACGUAACUGAGCGUAUCUUGGGCUACAUACAGGCUUUAUUUCAUUAAAAUCGGCUCAUGUAAAAACAAGAUAGCAUAUCUUAAUUUGAAGUUUUAGGAGUCUUCUAAGCUCAGUACAGUUCGUAGUAAAGUCAAAAGAUGGGGCCACAUUAAUUGAUUUUUAAACGGCGCUCACAGAAGUUUUCGGAUGUUUAACUCAGUUACACGAUCAUCACUUAGUAGUACACCAAGGACCCAAUAGAUGGCGCAGUUAGCUUUUUUUUUUUUUUUUACCUCAGUAACAGAAGUAUUUCUGUAAGUUUACGUCAGUGACAGAAUUAAGCAAAUUUACGAAUACAAAAUAACAUUGAAACUACUUGGCUAGGAUAUACGGAUUUGUUGAUUUCGCUUUGAGUUUUAGAUAUUAAAAACUUAACGAAAUUGCUUUGCUUCUUUCGAUAGGUUUUAUUUAUAUUUGACUUCUUUCCUAGGGAAAUCAAUAAGAAAGAAUUUAUCGAGUCUGCUUUGUUAUUGGUGUGCCUGCUUAUCACAUUUUGAUAAAAAGUUUAUCAUUUUGAAGUUAGAAA